rnacentral:misc_RNA from 1 species
GAUGAAGAACGUAGCGAAAUGCGAUAAGUAAUGUGAAUUGCAGAAUUCAGUGAAUCAUCGAAUCUUUGAACGCACAUUGCGCCCGCCAGUAUUCUGGCGGGCAUGCCUGUUCGAGCGUCAUUUCAACCAUCAAGCCCCCGGCUUGUGUUGGGGACCUGCGGCUGCCGCAGGCCCUGAAAAGCAGUGGCGGGCUCGCUGUCACACCGAGCGUAGUAGCAUACAUCUCGCUCUGGGCGUGUGGCGGGUUCCGGCCGUGAAACCCCUCCAAUUUAUCAAGGUUGACCUCGGAUCAGGUAGGAAUACCCGCUGAACUUAAGCAUAUCAAUAAGCGGAGGA